rnacentral:rRNA from 1 species
AAACUGAAGAGUUUGAUCCUGGCUCAGAUUGAACGCUGGCGGCAUGCCUUACACAUGCAAGUCGAACGCGAAAGCGGGGCAACCCGCAAGUAGAGUGGCGAACGGGUGAGUAAUACAUCGGAACAUUUCCAGUAGCGGGGGAUAACCUGUCGAAAGAUAGGCUAAUACCGCAUACGAUCUACGGAUGAAAGCGGGGGACCGCAAGGCCUCGCACUAUUGGAGUGGCCGAUGUCGGAUUAGCUAGUUGGUGGGGUAAAAGCCUACCAAGGCGACGAUCCGUAGCUGGUCUGAGAGGACGAUCAGCCACACUGGAACUGAGACACGGUCCAGACUCCUACGGGAGGCAGCAGUGGGGAAUUUUGGACAAUGGGCGCAAGCCUGAUCCAGCCAUGCCGCGUGAGUGAAGAAGGCCUUCGGGUUGUAAAGCUCUUUCGGCGGGGACGAAACGGUUCGUGCUAAUACCACGGACUACUGACGGUACCCACAGAAGAAGCACCGGCUAACUACGUGCCAGCAGCCGCGGUAAUACGUAGGGUGCAGGCGUUAAUCGGAAUUACUGGGCGUAAAGCGUGCGCAGGCGGUCUGUUAAGACAGGUGUGAAAUCCCCGAGCUCAACUUGGGAAUUGCGCUUGUUACUGGCAGGCUAGAGUGUGGCAGAGGGGGGUGGAAUUCCACGUGUAGCAGUGAAAUGCGUAGAUAUGUGGAGGAACACCGAUGGCGAAGGCAGCCCCCUGGGUCAACACUGACGCUCAGGCACGAAAGCGUGGGGAGCAAACAGGAUUAGAUACCCUGGUAGUCCACGCCCUAAACUAUGUCAACUAGUUGUCGGGGAAGAAAUUCCUUGGUAACGAAGCUAACGCGUGAAGUUGACCGCCUGGGGAGUACGGUCGCAAGAUUAAAACUCAAAGGAAUUGACGGGGACCCGCACAAGCGGUGGAUUAUGUGGAUUA